rnacentral:rRNA from 1 species
AGCGUACACGGUGGAUGCCCUGGCAGUCAGAGGCGAUGAAGGACGUGCUAAUCUGCGAUAAGCGUCGGUAAGGUGAUAUGAACCGUUAUAACCGGCGAUUUCCGAAUGGGGAAACCCAGUGUGUUUCGACACACUAUCAUUAACUGAAUCCAUAGGUUAAUGAGGCGAACCGGGGGAACUGAAACAUCUAAGUACCCCGAGGAAAAGAAAUCAACCGAGAUUCCCCCAGUAGCGGCGAGCGAACGGGGAGCAGCCCAGAGCCUGAAUCAGUGUGUGUGUUAGUGGAAGCGUCUGGAAAGGCGCGCGAUACAGGGUGACAGCCCCGUACACAAAAAUGCACAUGCUGUGAGCUCGAUGAGUAGGGCGGGACACGUGGUAUCCUGUCUGAAUAUGGGGGGACCAUCCUCCAAGGCUAAAUACUCCUGACUGACCGAUAGUGAACCAGUACCGUGAGGGAAAGGCGAAAAGAACCCCGGCGAGGGGAGUGAAAAAGAACCUGAAACCGUGUACGUACAAGCAGUGGGAGCACGCUUAGGCGUGUGACUGCGUACCUUUUGUAUAAUGGGUCAGCGACUUAUAUUCUGUAGCAAGGUUAACCGAAUAGGGGAGCCGAAGGGAAACCGAGUCUUAACUGGGCGUUAAGUUGCAGGGUAUAGACCCGAAACCCGGUGAUCUAGCCAUGGGCAGGUUGAAGGUUGGGUAACACUAACUGGAGGACCGAACCGACUAAUGUUGAAAAAUUAGCGGAUGACUUGUGGCUGGGGGUGAAAGGCCAAUCAAACCGGGAGAUAGCUGGUUCUCCCCGAAAGCUAUUUAGGUAGCGCCUCGUGAAUUCAUCUCCGGGGGUAGAGCACUGUUUCGGCAAGGGGGUCAUCCCGACUUACCAACCCGAUGCAAACUGCGAAUACCGGAGAAUGUUAUCACGGGAGACACACGGCGGGUGCUAACGUCCGUCGUGAAGAGGGAAACAACCCAGACCGCCAGCUAAGGUCCCAAAGUCAUGGUUAAGUGGGAAACGAUGUGGGAAGGCCCAGACAGCCAGGAUGUUGGCUUAGAAGCAGCCAUCAUUUAAAGAAAGCGUAAUAGCUCACUGGUCGAGUCGGCCUGCGCGGAAGAUGUAACGGGGCUAAACCAUGCACCGAAGCUGCGGCAGCGACGCUGAUGCGUUGUUGGGUAGGGGAGCGUUCUGUAAGCCUGUGAAGGUGUGCUGUGAGGCAUGCUGGAGGUAUCAGAAGUGCGAAUGCUGACAUAAGUAACGAUAAAGCGGGUGAAAAGCCCGCUCGCCGGAAGACCAAGGGUUCCUGUCCAACGUUAAUCGGGGCAGGGUGAGUCGACCCCUAAGGCGAGGCCGAAAGGCGUAGUCGAUGGGAAACAGGUUAAUAUUCCUGUACUUGGUGUUACUGCGAAGGGGGGACGGAGAAGGCUAUGUUGGCCGGGCGACGGUUGUCCCGGUUUAAGCGUGUAGGCUGGUUUUCCAGGCAAAUCCGGAAAAUCAAGGCUGAGGCGUGAUGACGAGGCACUACGGUGCUGAAGCAACAAAUGCCCUGCUUCCAGGAAAAGCCUCUAAGCAUCAGGUAACAUCAAAUCGUACCCCAAACCGACACAGGUGGUCAGGUAGAGAAUACCAAGGCGCUUGAGAGAACUCGGGUGAAGGAACUAGGCAAAAUGGUGCCGUAACUUCGGGAGAAGGCACGCUGAUAUGUAGGUGAAGUCCCUCGCGGAUGGAGCUGAAAUCAGUCGAAGAUACCAGCUGGCUGCAACUGUUUAUUAAAAACACAGCACUGUGCAAACACGAAAGUGGACGUAUACGGUGUGACGCCUGCCCGGUGCCGGAAGGUUAAUUGAUGGGGUCAGCGCAAGCGAAGCUCUUGAUCGAAGCCCCGGUAAACGGCGGCCGUAACUAUAACGGUCCUAAGGUAGCGAAAUUCCUUGUCGGGUAAGUUCCGACCUGCACGAAUGGCGUAAUGAUGGCCAGGCUGUCUCCACCCGAGACUCAGUGAAAUUGAACUCGCUGUGAAGAUGCAGUGUACCCGCGGCAAGACGGAAAGACCCCGUGAACCUUUACUAUAGCUUGACACUGAACAUUGAGCCUUGAUGUGUAGGAUAGGUGGGAGGCUUUGAAGUGUGGACGCCAGUCUGCAUGGAGCCGACCUUGAAAUACCACCCUUUAAUGUUUGAUGUUCUAACGUGGACCCGUAAUCCGGGUUGCGGACAGUGUCUGGUGGGUAGUUUGACUGGGGCGGUCUCCUCCUAAAGAGUAACGGAGGAGCACGAAGGUUGGCUAAUCCUGGUCGGACAUCAGGAGGUUAGUGCAAUGGCAUAAGCCAGCUUGACUGCGAGCGUGACGGCGCGAGCAGGUGCGAAAGCAGGUCAUAGUGAUCCGGUGGUUCUGAAUGGAAGGGCCAUCGCUCAACGGAUAAAAGGUACUCCGGGGAUAACAGGCUGAUACCGCCCAAGAGUUCAUAUCGACGGCGGUGUUUGGCACCUCGAUGUCGGCUCAUCACAUCCUGGGGCUGAAGUAGGUCCCAAGGGUAUGGCUGUUCGCCAUUUAAAGUGGUACGCGAGCUGGGUUUAGAACGUCGUGAGACAGUUCGGUCCCUAUCUGCCGUGGGCGCUGGAGAACUGAGGGGGGCUGCUCCUAGUACGAGAGGACCGGAGUGGACGCAUCACUGGUGUUCGGGUUGUCAUGCCAAUGGCACUGCCCGGUAGCUAAAUGCGGAAGAGAUAAGUGCUGAAAGCAUCUAAGCACGAAACUUGCCCCGAGAUGAGUUCUCCCUGACUCCUUGA